ensembl:misc_RNA 7SK 7SK RNA
GAAUGUGAGGGCAAUUUGGAUGCCGUCUUUAUCAUCCUAUUGAUCACCAAGGUUGAGCUGGCUGAUCUGACUAUCUAGGCUGCUGUCCCUUUCCUCCUUCACAGUUACAAAGAUGAAUGCUCAGAACACCAUGUAAGAGAAAAGAGAUGAAUGGGCUUCCAGUGGAGUCUAUACAAGUACUCGCAUUCCCCUGCUAGAACUGCCAAAUAAGCUCUCAAGAUCAUCUUAUGGAGAUUUGUGCCCAGAACUUGAGAAGUCUUCUCUUCACUUCAAGUAGUCAGUGCCAGGGUUACACUGCCACAUU